UACGGAGGGUGCAAGCGUUGUCCGGAAUUACUGGGCGUAAAGGGCGCGCAGGCGGCUCUGAAAGUCAGAUGUGAAAGCCCCGGGCUUAACCUGGGAAUUGCAUUUGAUACUCUGGAGCUUGAGUGUGGGAGAGGAGAGUGGAAUUCCCAGUGUAGAGGUGAAAUUCGUAGAUAUUGGGAAGAACACCGGUGGCGAAGGCGGCUCUCUGGACCACAACUGACGCUGAGGCGCGAAAGCGUGGGGAGCAAACAGG
rnacentral:rRNA from 1 species